GUGUAUUAUCCUUGAAGUCCCAGGGGAACAUAUUUUCCCCACUGAAAAUCAUCGACUAGUAGCUUAUCUCUGUUGCAAUGAAGAGGAAAUGCUGGACUAACUUUAGCUGAGCAGUUUGGAUCACAAUAUACAGACUGCCCUGUGGAACAGUCAUAAGGAAACCAGCUGAUGUAAGAGAAUGAAGACAUCUGAGAGCACUGUUUAAGCAAACUCGAGCUAAAGUAGGUGGAACAGUUGGUCACAGUCUCUUAGAGCAAAUGGAGCAGCAAAGCACAGAAUGGAAGGAGAGAGCCUCACUUCUCCCCUCUGGAUUAUUAGCACUGUGAAGAGAAGGAUGGAAGGACUGAUUACCAAUCAUGUGAGGAAAUUCAAUCUUUUAAGAAUGUGAGCAGCAGUAAAAACCAAGGUAAAAGGAACCAUAUUACUUUCAGAUAAAUUUCAAGAGCUUCAGAGCUUCCCACUCUUCAAAGGCUUUCUGCAAUAAAAGUUUCCAGCAGAAGAGCAUAUGUGGAAUAACAAAGCUCAGUAAAAACCAACUAAAUGAAAAGGAAGGUGACAGCCAGGAAUCCUAAAUCAAAGAAAUGCUGUGAAGAGGAUGCAGCUUUCUGAGGUGCUUAGAAAUGGAAAGAUGCUUUUGGAAACCAUGCUGGACUGAAGACCUAGACUGAGAUUCCCAGAUUCUAAUAAAAAUAUGGCAUAGCAAAGUGCUGGCUAAAUGAUGCCUAAGCAGUCAAACACAUUGUCCUGGCCAGUACUGAAAGCUGUUGCUACUGUGACUUCUGCUACCUCUACCAGCAGUGGCUACGCUCAUAGUGAGCAAGAGGCAUAUAACAACCACUGAUCUGGAUGAUUUUACUUCAUGUGAAAACUGAGGUAACGUGUUCUUACAUUUCUCUAAGAAAAACAGGAGUGCACUAAGGAGCAGGAAGUAUCUGCAGAGCUGAUUGGAGCAAUGUAAGCAGGGAGGUGGUGCCAUCCAGGAGGAGCUCAGCUGGGCCAGUGCAGCAGUCCCAGCCAUGCAAUGGGCAGUCCAGGAUGGAGCCCAGGGGUCCUUGGAGCUAACCCUGGGGAUUCUGCUGGACCUCCUCCCCAGCAACAACCUGGCAGUAGCAUUCACAGCAUGCCCCACUUGAGUUUUCCACACCUCUGCCAACAACACAGCACUUAACAGGGAUCUCUUAAAAUGUGAUGAGCAAUCUCAUUUCACUGCUUCACCUCUGCAGCCCACAGAAGCAACUGCUUUUAGUCUCUUGAGAACUUUGUCCCACAAUCCUACAUGACUAGCAAUGCAACCACUCAGCAUACACAUGUAAGUAUUAGGGAUAAAACCAACAUCAACAAUAAGCCAGUAACAUGCUGUGCAGCUAAUGUAGCAUAGGAUGAGAAUUAAAUAAAAUCCAACCUGGACGAAGUAA